CUUGCAAACUGGAGAUGGCGACCGGCGCACGGGUGAGUAACACGUAUCCAACCUGCCGAUAACUCGGGGAUAGCCUUUCGAAAGAAAGAUUAAUACCCGAUGGCAUAAUAGAACCGCAUGGUUUGAUUAUUAAAGAAUUCCGGUUAUCGAUGGGGAUGCGUUCCAUUAGGCAGUUGGUGGGGUAACGGCCCACCAAACCUUCGAUGGAUAGGGGUUCUGAGAGGAAGGUCCCCCACAUUGGAACUGAGACACGGUCCAAACUCCUACGGGAGGCAGCAUG
rnacentral:rRNA from 1 species